rnacentral:rRNA from 1 species
GCUUAGCCCUAAACUUAGAUAUUUAUACACAAAAAUAUCCGCCAGAGAACUACGAGCAAAACGCUUAAAACUCUAAGGACUUGGCGGUACCUCAAACCCACCUAGAGGAGCCUGUUCUAUAAUCGAUAACCCACGAUUCACCUCACCAUCUCUUGCCAAUCCAGCCUAUAUACCACCGUCACCAGCCUACCCCAUGAGGGAUGCAAAAGUAGGCAAAAUAACUAAACAGUUAACAAGUCAGGUCAAGGUGUAGCUAAUUGAAAUGGAAGAAAUGGGCUACAUUUUCUACACUAGAAAUUAAUUUACGGAAAGGAACUAUGAAACAGUCCCAUAAGUAGGAUUUAGCAGUAAACUAGGAUUAGAAUGCCUAAUUUAAGCCGGUCCUGAGGUGC